GAUGAAGAACGUAGCGAAAUGCGAUAAGUAAUGCGAAUUGCAGAAUUUCCGUGAAUCAUCGAAUCUUUGAACGCACAUUGCGCCCCUUGGUAUUCCGAGGGGCAUGCCUGUUCGAGCGUCAUAUUAACCACUCCCGCUUGCGGGGUCUUGGGCUUCGCCUCCGGGCGGGCCUUAAAAUCAGUGGCGGUGCCGUCGGGCUCUACGCGUAGUAAAUUUUCUCGCGAUAGGGUCCCGGUGGAUGCUUGCCAACAACCCCCAACUUCUUAAGGUUGACCUCGGAUCAGGUAGGGAUACCCGCUGAACUUAAGCAUAUCAAUAAGCGGAGGA
rnacentral:misc_RNA from 1 species